rnacentral:piRNA from 1 species
UCGCCCCCUCAUGGAUUUUCA